rnacentral:rRNA from 1 species
GAGUUUGAUCAUGGCUACCAGAUUGAACGCUGGCGGCAGGCCUAACACAUGCAAGUCGGGCGGUAGAGAGAAGCUUGCUUCUCUUGAGAGCGGCGGACGGGUGAGUAAUGCCUAGGAAUCUGCCUGGUAGUGGGGGAUAACGCUCGGAAACGGCGCUAAUACCGCAUACGUCCUACGGGAGAAAGCAGGGGACCUUCGGGCCUUGCGCUAUCAGAUGAGCCUAGGUCGGAUUAGCUAGUUGGUGAGGUAAUGGCUCACCAAGGCGACGAUCCGUAACUGGUCUGAGAGGAUGAUCAGUCACACUGGAACUGAGACACGGUCCAGACUCCUACGGGAGGCAGCAGUGGGGAAUAUUGGACAAUGGGCGAAAGCCUGAUCCAGCCAUGCCGCGUGUGUGAAGAAGGUCUUCGGAUUGUAAAGCACUUUAAGUUGGGAGGAAGGGCAGUAAAUUAAU